UCCUCCCUACGGGAGGCAGCAGUGGGGGAUAUUGCACAAUGGGGGAAACCCUGAUGCAGCGACGCCGCGUGAGUGAAGAAGUAUUUCGGUACGUAAAGCUCUAUCAGCAGGGAAGAAUAAUGACGGUACCUGACUAAGAAGCCCCGGCUAACUACGUGCCAGCAGCCGCGGUAAUACGGAGGAUGCGAGCGUUAUCCGGAUUUAUUGGGUUUAAAGGGUGCGCAGGCGGUCUGUUAAGUCAGCGGUCAAAGCCCGGGGCUCAACCCCGGCCCGCCGUUGAAACUGGCAGUCUCGAGUUGGAGAGA
rnacentral:rRNA from 1 species